UGUCUAGUAGCACCUUAGAGACCAACUAAGUUUGUUCUUGGUAUGAGCUUUUGUGUGCAUGCAAGAACAAACUUAGUUGGUCUCUAAGGUGCUACUGGACC